GCAGAAGGCUUCACAGAAAAGAUUAGAACUGAGGAGCCAACAGAAGGAGGGGUCUGAAGGUGAUCAUCAGAAAAUAGGAUAAAGAGAAAAACCAAAGGUGCACCGAGGUGUAUGCCCCCAAAUGUUUCCGCAUACACACUGAAGAUGCUGGGUCCGAAUCCCUGGAACUUGAGAGGCUGCUGUAUAACGGGUUUGCAUGCGGCAUUAAGGAUGUGGAUAAUUCAGUACCCAGUAUAGGAAAAAGGGAGUGACUCCCAGCUCUGUUAAUAUCUUUGAGGAUGGAGGAAAGAGGCCAUGAUCCAAGGAAUUUGGACCACCUCCAGAGGCUGAGUCAGUAAGAAAACAGAGAAUUUAUAUCCCCAGCUUCCUGCACGAGCAGGGAAAUGGGCUCCCCUCUAGAAACUCCAGAAAGUGACAAAGCCCCUGGCACUUUGAUUUUGUCUUUGUGAGACCCAGUGCUGAGAGAUUAGCCAGGCCCACAAGACUUCUGACCUACAAGCCAUGAGUUAAUGCAUUUGUGAUCUGUGAUACUUCAUUAUGGAAGAAGUAGUACUGAUAGAGCACAUACUUGAACUCCUUCAUUUUCUGUUCUUCCCCCUAGCUAGUUAUAUUCUGCCAAAUAAUUCUUUGACACUGCUUGUGCCCCAAUUGGUCCCUUGUGUUCUGUAUACAGUUUAAGGCCAACUUGCAGAUACCAGCCAGCCUGUUGCAGCAUAAAACCCAGCAAACCAACAAGAUCAUACUGGCACAUCUCAAUUGCACUGUUUCCCAACUCAGUUUGGGAAGAUGCAUUUUCAACAACUCUUCUCUGUGUGUGUAAUUCAUCCUCCAUCUUGAAUCCAACAGCAGUUCAUAGAUUUUUGUGUGUGUGUAAAACCAGCUCUCUAGUUUCUUCUGGCUCAUUGUUUCUUCUAGGUCUUUUCUUUCUGGAUAUUUACUGUCCUUGUCACGUAUAAAUAGCAUUUAAUUGUUUUCUAUGUACAGCUUCUGUAUAGGUUUUGUUUGCUCAAGCUGCUUAUUUAUGUAGUCAUUUGCCUGUGUGGUCUUUUCUGUUUCUGACUUGGGUAGUCACCUGUCCGCCUGGUUGUGAGAGGUUGAUUCUCCUAUGCUGAGAUGCUGUGCUUGGCUUAGGAUUUUGCUGGAGAUCAUCAACACAGCGUGGGCAGUGCCUCUUCCUUCAGCUUUUGAGCAGGAGCGUCAAGAGUGGAAAUUUUCAUAGUUUCUUAAAAAAAAAAAAUUGCCUUUUUUUUUUUUAAUAGAUGUUUCUUACCGGAGUAACAAUUUCUGUCCUAUCUGGUAGGAUGUCUGUUUUUUAAUCAUAAAUGUGUACUGGAUUUUACAAACUGCUUUUUCUUCACCGAAGCAAUCAACUGACUGUUUUGUUUUUUUUUUUUAAACUUCAUUUCAUUUUUGAGACAGGGUUUGCCUACUCUGUCCUUGAACUUGCUUCUGUCCCUGCUUCCUCCUGCCUGAUGCUGGAAUUAUAGCCGUGUACCACCAUGCUGGGGCCAAGAUAGCUUCCUUUUCUCUUCUAAGACUUUGUUUCAUGCCUCCCAGGGUGACCUGGAGUGAACUCCCUUUGUGACUGAGGCCAGCCUCGAAUUCCUGACCCUCCAGGCUCCACCUUGUAAAUGUGAUGAUUAUAGGCACGCGUCCCUACCACACCUGGCCUAGAAAGCGCUUCAGCACCUGUAAUCGCUCGUUCCCUUUACCCCUGUCGGGUCUACUCUUCAGUUUCGCAGGUCCCAAAGACAAGCAAAGUUAAGGGUGCAGGAGAAAUGAAAUUCCUUAACCUGGCAACUGCUUGGCUUUCCUGGUUACUGAAGUCUAGAAACUUCAAGAGAACGGCUCCAGCCCAGGCUGCUCUAAGAGCGUCUCCACAGGGACAUUCCUUUCUGAGAGCCAAGGCAUUUGUGCCCUCAAGUUUAACUGCAUUAGCCCUCCUGUCUCUCUCCUUAAAUCUAAAGAGAUUACAAUUCAUAAAAGCCUUGAGGAUUCAGGUUAGAAAAUGAGGUUCUUUAGAGAAAUUAACCAACCAGCUCAGAGAGGUUACUUGAUUCUAAAGUUGGUUUCAUAUUUGAAUAAUGUUGUAAUUUGCAUCUCGGGAACUGUAUAACCUCAGAAGUCAUGUGUUAUAUCAUCUAGUGUGACAAGGACUGGAAGUUUGAGUGUGCCAGAGGCCAAAGGGCCAGCCAAGGCUACAAAAAAACUAACCCUGGAUCUUACUGUUAAUAAAAAGCUUUGG
rnacentral:lncRNA from 1 species